rnacentral:rRNA from 1 species
AUUGAACGCUGGCGGCAUGCUUUACACAUGCAAGUCGAACGGUAACAGGCCUUCGGGUGCUGACGAGUGGCGAACGGGUGAGUAAUGCAUCGGAACGUACCCAGAGGUGGGGGAUAACGCAGCGAAAGCUGUGCUAAUACCGCAUGUGAUCUGAGGAUGAAAGCGGGGGACCGAGCAGUAAUGUUUGGCCUCGCGCCUUUGGAGCGGCCGAUGUCGGAUUAGCUAGUUGGUGGGGUAAAGGCCUACCAAGGCGACGAUCCGUAGCUGGUCUGAGAGGACGACCAGCCACACUGGGACUGAGACACGGCCCAGACUCCUACGGGAGGCAGCAGUGGGGAAUUUUGGACAAUGGGCUCAAGCCUGAUCCAGCAAUGCCGCGUGCGGGAAGAAGGCCUUCGGGUUGUAAACCGCUUUUGGCAGGAACGAAACGGUGUCCGCUAAUACCGGGCGCUAAUGACGGUACCUGCAGAAUAAGCACCGGCUAACUACGUG